rnacentral:rRNA from 1 species
CCUACGGGUGGCAGCAGUAAGGAAUAUUGGUCAAUGGGCGCAAGCCUGAACCAGCCAUGCCGCGUGCAGGAAGACGGCCUACGGGUUGUAAACUGCUUUUGCAGGGGAAUAUGUACUCUGAGAAUAAGGAUCGGCUAACUCCGUGCCAGCAGCCGCGGUAAUACGGAGGAUCCAAGCGUUAUCCGGAUUUAUUGGGUUUAAAGGGUGCGUAGGUGGCCUGUUAAGUCAGGGGUGAAAGACGGUAGCUUAACUAUCGCAGUGCCCUUGAUACUGACGGGCUUGAAUGAACUAGAGGUAGGCGGAAUGUGACAAGUAGCGGUGAAAUGCAUAGAUAUGUCACAGAACACCAAUGGCGAAGGCAGCUUACUAUGUUUAUUGACACUGAGGCACGAAAGCGUGGGGAUCAAACAGGAUUAGAUACCCUUGUAGUC